AUUGAACGCUGGCGGCAUGCCUUACACAUGCAAGUCGAACGGCAGCACGGGAGCAAUCCUGGUGGCGAGUGGCGAACGGGUGAGUAAUAUAUCGGAACGUGCCCAGUCGUGGGGGAUAACGUAGCGAAAGCUACGCUAAUACCGCAUACGAUCUAUGGAUGAAAGCGGGGGAUCGCAAGACCUCGCGCGAUUGGAGCGGCCGAUAUCAGAUUAGGUAGUUGGUGAGGUAAAGGGCUCACCAAGCCGACGAUCUGUAGCUGGUCUGAGAGGACGACCAGCCACACUGGGACUGAGACACGGCCCCAGACUCCUACGGGAGGCAGCAGUGGGGAAUUUUGGACAAUGGGCGCAAGCCUGAUCCAGCAAUGCCGCGUGCAGGAUGAAGGCCUUC
rnacentral:rRNA from 1 species